rnacentral:rRNA from 1 species
CCAGACUCCUACGGGAGGCAGCAGUGGGGAAUAUUGGACAAUGGGCGCAAGCCUGACCCAGCAACGCCGCGUGAAGGAAGAAGGCUUUCGGGUUGUAAACUUCUUUUGUCAGGGACGAAGCAAGUGACGGUACCUGACGAAUAAGCCACGGCUAACUACGUGCCAGCAGCCGCGGUAAUACGUAGGUGGCAAGCGUUAUCCGGAUUUACUGGGUGUAAAGGGCGUGUAGGCGGGACUGCAAGUCAGAUGUGUAAACCACGGGCUCAACCUGUGGCCUGCAUUUGAAACUGUAGUUCUUGAGUACUGGAGAGGCAGACGGAAUUCCUAGUGUAGCGGUGAAAUGCGUAGAUAUUAGGAGGAACACCAGUGGCGAAGGCGGUCUGCUGGACAGCAACUGACGCUGAGGCGCGAAAGCGUGGGGAGCAAACAGGAUUAGAUACCCGCGUA